rnacentral:rRNA from 1 species
GACGAACGCUGGCGGCGUGCUUAACACAUGCCAGUCGAACGGAAAGGCCCUGCUUUUGUGGGGUGCUCGAGUGGCGAACGGGUGAGUAACACGUGAGUAACCUGCCCUUGACUUUGGGAUAACUUCAGGAAACUGGGGCUAAUACCGGAUAGGAGCUCCUGCUGCAUGGUGGGGGUUGGAAAGUUUCGGCGGUUGGGGAUGGACUCGCGGCUUAUCAGCUUGUUGGUGGGGUAGUGGCUUACCAAGGCUUUGACGGGUAGCCGGCCUGAGAGGGUGACCGGCCACAUUGGGACUGAGAUACGGCCCAGACUCCUACGGGAGGCAGCAGUGGGGAAUAUUGCACAAUGGGCGGAGGCCUGAUGCAGCAACGCCGCGUGCGGGAUGACGGCCUUCGGGUUGUAAACCGCCUUCGCCUGUGACGAAGCGUGAGUGACGGUAAUGGGUAAAGAAGCACCGGCUAACUACGUG